rnacentral:rRNA from 1 species
AGAGUUUGAUCCUGGCUCAGAUUGAACGCUAGCGGGAUGCUUUACACAUGCAAGUCGAACGGCAGCACGAGAGAGCUUGCUCUCUUGGUGGCGAGUGGCGGACGGGUGAGUAAUAUAUCGGAACGUGCCCAGUAGCGGGGGAUAACUACUCGAAAGAGUGGCUAAUACCGCAUACGCCCUACGGGGGAAAGGGGGGGAUCGCAAGACCUCUCACUAUUGGAGCGGCCGAUAUCGGAUUAGCUAGUUGGUAGGGUAAAGGCUCACCAAGGCAACGAUCCGUAGCUGGUUUGAGAGGACGACCAGCCACACUGGGACUGAGACACGGCCCAGACUCCUACGGGAGGCAGCAGUGGGGAAUUUUGGACAAUGGGGGAAACCCUGAUCCAGCCAUCCCGCGUGUAUGAUGAAGGCCUUCGGGUUGUAAAGUACUUUUGGCAGAGAAGAAAAGGCAUCCCCUAAUACGGGAUGCUGCUGACGGUAUCUGCAGAAUAAGCACCGGCUAACUACGUGCCAGCAGCCGCGGUAAUACGUAGGGUGCAAGCGUUAAUCGGAAUUACUGGGCGUAAAGCGUGUGUAGGCGGUUCGGAAAGAAAGAUGUGAAAUCCCAGGGCUCAACCUUGGAACUGCAUUUUUAACUGCCGAGCUAGAGUAUGUCAGAGGGGGGUAGAAUUCCACGUGUAGCAGUGAAAUGCGUAGAUAUGUGGAGGAAUACCGAUGGCGAAGGCAGCCCCCUGGGAUAAUACUGACGCUCAGACACGAAAGCGUGGGGAGCAAACAGGAUUAGAUACCCUGGUAGUCCACGCCCUAAACGAUGUCAACUAGCUGUUGGGGCCGUUAGGCCUUAGUAGCGCAGCUAACGCGUGAAGUUGACCGCCUGGGGAGUACGGUCGCAAGAUUAAAACUCAAAGGAAUUGACGGGGACCCGCACAAGCGGUGGAUGAUGUGGAUUAAUUCGAUGCAACGCGAAAAACCUUACCUACCCUUGACAUGUCUGGAAAGCCGAAGAGAUUUGGCCGUGCUCGCAAGAGAACCGGAACACAGGUGCUGCAUGGCUGUCGUCAGCUCGUGUCGUGAGAUGUUGGGUUAAGUCCCGCAACGAGCGCAACCCUUGUCAUUAGUUGCUACGCAAGAGCACUCUAAUGAGACUGCCGGUGACAAACCGGAGGAAGGUGGGGAUGACGUCAAGUCCUCAUGGCCCUUAUGGGUAGGGCUUCACACGUCAUACAAUGGUCGGGACAGAGGGUCGCCAACCCGCGAGGGGGAGCCAAUCUCAGAAACCCGAUCGUAGUCCGGAUCGCAGUCUGCAACUCGACUGCGUGAAGUCGGAAUCGCUAGUAAUCGCGGAUCAGAAUGUCGCGGUGAAUACGUUCCCGGGUCUUGUACACACCGCCCGUCACACCAUGGGAGUGGGUUUCACCAGAAGUAGGUAGCCUAACCGCAAGGAGGGCGCUUACCACGGUGGGAUUCAUGACUGGGGUGAAGUCGUAACAAGGUAGCCGUAUCGGAAGGUGCGGCUGGAUCACCUCCUU